UAUCCAUACUUCUUUAUUUCCUCCAAAAUUACUUUUAGAAAUCUAAAUUUCACAAGCAUAAAGUCUUGUCAACCUUUCAUUCAGCAUCAUUCCCACCAUUCCUCCAUCAGUCUCAAAAGCUCUCCAACUGCAAGUAAAGAGCCAUGUAUACUGUGAACAGGGGCAUUUUUACCCAAGCCAUCCUGUGUGGCCUCGAACAUACGAUAGUACCUGUUCAAAAGCAAAACGAAACAGCAUUUAUUACUCAAUA